CGCGCAGGCGGAUUUAUAAGCCAGAUGUGAAAUCUCGGGGCUCAACCCCGAAACUGCGUCUGGAACUGUAAAUCUAGAGUUAUGGAGGGGAGAGCGGAAUUUCGCAUGUAGGGGUAAAAUCCGUAGAGAUGCGAAGGAACACCAGAGCCGAAGGGGGCUCUCUGGCCAUCAACUGACGCUGAGGCGCGAAAGCGUGGGGAGCAAACA
rnacentral:rRNA from 1 species